ensembl:lincRNA
GGCCGCCAGGGGAGCAGGCCCUGCCAGGGGGUGACAGAGGCCAUGCCAGGACACCACCCAAGCCUGCUCUGGCAUUCCCUGUGAUACCAGCUGGCAGCGGCCAGCCUUUGCCCUUAGGAGCACUCACACGGCGGUCCAAACCAUUAGCUGCCACGAGAGCCGCAUCGCUAGUGACAGGCGACCACAGCAGGGCAAGAAGUGCCAGCCACCAGGCAGGUGUGGAGGACUCCAUCCUGUGGCUCUUCUCCGAAGACACAGCAUUUUUCUUCCCCUCCCAAUUAACCUCCCAGGGACACAUCCUGAAGGACUGGAUCUGUCACGAGAAGUGACAAGACGGGAUCUGUGGAGCCGGCCGCCGGAAUCCGAGGCGGUGUUUCCUGGCAGGUCAUUUGCAUGGUUUGCCUGACUUCAGCAGAAAUGCACGGCAGAUAACCCAGAGCCGCGCGGGCACCUGCAAUUGAAGAAUUCAGAAUCACAAGUAAUGGGUCUAAAUUGGCAGGCUUUCAUGAGACUCCCACCAAUCUUCAAGCAUACAGCUGCCAUGGGUCACGUAAAAUGGUUUCCUGGAGUCUAUUUCUGAGGGCACCCCUGUGUCGUUGUUGGCCAUAUUUCUUUGUUCUCCAAAUUUCCUACGAUACAGUAAUGUUUCCUGCUUUUGGAAGUUAGAGCCUGGUGCGAGCCCCUACGGACCAAAAUUUGGUAGUGACUGGUGCCUUGGGAAAUUCGGACUGUUGGCCUGCCAGUUAAAGACAUGCAGAUUUCACAGUGGUUGGAUUGUAGAAAAUUCUGUCUGGGAAGAGAGAGGAAGGAAGAAAUGCUUUUCAAGAGUGUUCAACAACCUGAAUUUGCAUUUGUUUGCUAGAACAAAAAGUUGGCUGAAUCAUUUUUCCAGAAAGCCAAGGUUCCUUCUAUUGUCUCUCUUGGCUGACUCGCUGGUGCCUGUGACGUCAACGACCAGCUCCAUAAUGAAUUCCAAGUGUCCUCUGGUCCGCAUCUCUCAUCGGCGUGUCUCCAAACGGCUGCCCAACAUCGCCCUCAGAUGCCUCACUGCCACUGCAUCCUGCAAGUCUGGUCCACUUCUAGCGAGGACACCCUGUCCAUCACAUCACGCAAGUCAAAACUGUAGAAGUUCUUACUGACCCCUCCCCCCCCUCCCUCCCAGACAUCUGCUUAUUCCCAAUGCCUGUUCUACUUCCUGUGUAACUCUCUCAUCGCUCCCCUUAUUUCCAGCUGCCCUUCACCCACUUUCCUGGUUGGAUACCAACCGCUCACAGCUAAGCUGCCUCCCUAACUAGUCCCCCUGUCUUCCUCUGCUCUUGUACUUCUUCAGCAUAUACCCCACGUGGCCACCUAAACCUUUUUCCUGAUCUCUCUGAUCGUGUCACCCCUUCUUAAAACCUCCGAUAGGUUCCAGCUACGUUUUGGAUAAAGCUGGGGUUCUUGAAGGGCGGCUUCCAAGACUCCAUUCCGUCAGGUACCCCCUGCCCCUGUCCUGGCAGCCCCCGCCCAGAUGACACCUGUCUUCUUUGCACAUCACAUCAGAGGGCUGUGUCCCUGCCCCACCUGCUCUUUGCCCUGCUCUUUGCUCAUCGCUUUCUGGAUGCUGCCCAUCCCCUGUGUCUGAGCUCAGGCACAGACCUGUCUUAUUCACACCUUCCCGGACCCUCAAGCUAGGCCAGGUGUCUUGUCACCUGUCUCAGAGAACUGCUCAUUUGCGCUAACACUCAGAAUAGCUUCUGGUCAGACGUCUAUCUGGCAUUACUGGAUUUGUCUCUCUUGCUAGCCUGGGCCUUCUUGGGACUAGGAACCAUGUCUAUUUUUAACCAGUGUACCCUCAGACCCUUGCAAGGUGCCCCACACAUUGCACCUGCUCAGUAUGUGUUCAAUGAGUGAAUAAAGCCACCAAGGCACCUCCAAAAAGGGCCUCUGAUGUCUGCACCAACUCAUUGGAAUAAUCUAACAUAGGCAGCUCUGGAAAGAAGUAUGUAUUUGAUGCCGCAAAAAGGAAUUCUAACAGAAAAGAAUGCUCGGAACCUUCUAAGGCCCAUAUAUGAGAGAGAUGAAGUCUAGCUUGUCAGUUUCAUGAUGAGUUUGAUGUUUCUUCUCCUGGAGGAUUGUGACUAAUGUAACAUGACCGCAGAUAUAAUUAGACCUGGUGUUUGCGCCUUUCCUUUUGCACUUAAUCAGUUUUGAGGGAAGUAAAUCUUGAAUCCUAAUCUAUCAUCAGGGUAGAUGCUACAAUUGUGAUGACAUCAUAGCAAGAACGACAUAGAAUAUUUACAGGUGAGCUUUCCGGUGGACGCGCAUGCAACAUCUCCUCUGUUCCGCGUUACUCUAACUCCGUGAUAAUUAUCAGGCUGGUUAUUUGUUAAAACAAGGUAGAGACAUAUUCCAGGCAAGAACUGGGUGCCGUCGCAUGAUAAGCUGCUCUAAGCAGAAAAUAAUGAAUACACUGAGAUUUGCUCCCAGCGAUUCAGAACUAAUCCUGAACGAAUAAUAAACUAGGUCAUACAGUUAGGCCUACAGAGAAUAAGUACAUCCUCUGAGCCAUUAAGACCUCUGAAACCAGUACUGCUUCAGAAUGGGAGGAACUAGUUAAUUUCCACGUGCGGGGAUGACCUCGGGAAACCUCAGUCAGAUUUCAGAAAUGUCACAAGUAAAUUGAACGCCGGGGUCUUGGAUUAAGCAAGGGUCAAGAACACAGUGGGAAGAGGAGGAUCGUGUGUGUGCGCGCAUGCGUGUGUGUGCUGGCCAAGAGAAAAUUUGCAGGUAGAUUUUAGGCCUUCAAUCUGAGCACAUAACUCCUGUUGAGAGCAAUAGGAAUUGAACACCCAGACAGAGAGAGAAAAAUGCCAACCAAUCCCCAGUGCAGGGUGUCAAUUAGCUACAUAAAAGAAAAUAGAAAAUAGAACCAGGGAUUGGUUAGGUGAUCCAAGAGAAGGAACGCAUCUCGAAACAUUCACAAGCAUCCCCCAUUAAAAAAUGGGGAGACGGAGACAUGGAAGAGGGCAGAUGAGGCCGGAAAUCAUCCUCUCAACCCUCUCAACGCCGACGAUGUGACACCAUUCUCCACGCGCGGUGCGUGACCGAAGAGAUCUGCUGCUCCUGAUUUGUAUGCUUGGAACAUUUUUCUGGAAUUGGAGACACACCAAUGGACACACCAAUGGACAUUUUUCUAGAAUUGGAGAUGCAGACUGACAGAGCUAAAUAAAGAAAGUUAGUACAUGAA